rnacentral:rRNA from 1 species
GACAGCAGCAGCCGCGGUAAUACGGAGGGUGCAAGCGUUAAUCGGGAUUACUGGGCGUAAAGCGCACGCAGGCGGUUUGUUAAGUCAGAUGUGAAAUCCCCGAGCUUAACUUGGGAACUGCAUUUGAAACUGGCAAGCUAGAGUCUUGUAGAGGGGGGUAGGAUUCCAGGUGUAGCGGUGAAAUGCGUAGAGAUCUGGAGGAAUACCGGUGGCGAAGGCGGCCCCCUGGACAAAGACUGACGCUCAGGUGCGAAAGCGUGGGGAGCAAACAGGAUUAGAUACCCCUGUAGUCCCUGUCUCUUAUAC